rnacentral:rRNA from 1 species
AUUGAACGCUGGCGGCAGGCUUAACACAUGCAAGUCGAACGGUAGCAGGAGAAAGCUUGCUUUCUUGCUGACGAGUGGCGGACGGGUGAGUAAUGCUUGGGAAUCUGGCUUAUGGAGGGGGAUAACUACGGGAAACUGUAGCUAAUACCGCGUAAUAUCUUCGGAUUAAAGAAUGGGACUUUUAGCCAUUCGCCAUAAGAUGAGCCCAAGUGGGAUUAGGUAGUUGGUGGGGUAAAGGCCUACCAAGCCGACGAUCUCUAGCUGGUCUGAGAGGAUGACCAGCCACACUUGAACUUAGACCCGGUCCAGACUCCUACGGGAGGCAGCAGUUGGGAAUAUUUCGCAAUGGGGGCAACCCUGACGGAGCCAUGCCGCGUGAAUGAAGAAGGCCUUCGGGUUGUAAAGUUCUUUCGGUGGUGAGGAAGGCUAAUAUGUUAAUAGCAUAUUAGAUUGACGUUAGCCACAGAAGAAGCACCGGCUAACUCCGUG